rnacentral:rRNA from 1 species
AUGUUUGCCCCUGCGCGGCGUGGUUCGCAGUUUUGGAAAGCCCUUGUUAAAGUUCGGCCAAUUUUUUUGGAGCACGUUAAGUUUUGUGUGGGUAAUGGGUCUGCUGUUCGUUUUUGGUUAGAUUGGUGGUCCGGGGAUGCUCCCCUGGCUGUUAGCUUUCUGGUUCUGUUCUCUUAUUGCCCCAAUCCGCAAAUCUCCAUCGCGGAGGUGGCUGCUAAUAAUUGGGACUUGGCUUUUCGUCGGGCCCUGUCUCCUGCAGAGUUGGAAGAAUGGCAAAGUCUUUCUGCCCUCUUCCCUGUGCUCUCGGAGGAGGCUGACUCUGUGGUUUGGCCACUUACGACCUCUGGGCUAUUCUCGGUCAAAUCGUUGUAUUCUAGACUCAUUGGUGGUACUACUUCGGCUCGCUUCUCUUGUAUUUGGAAAUCUAAGGUCCCUCCUAAGAUUAAGAUUUUCCUCUGGCAAGCCUUCCGAGGUCGCCUUCUUUCUGCUGAUCAGAUCAAAAAACGCAAUGGGUCGGGCUCGGAAUUCUGUAACUUGUGUGGGGCUUUGGAAAACUCUAAUCACAUCUUUUUCAACUGUGUUCUUGCCAAAUUAGUUUGGUCUUGCGUAAGAUCAUGGCUUCGGGUCUCCUGGGAUCCCUCCUCUUUCGCAGACACUAGAACCCUAGCCAAAUCUCUGGUAGGGGUCACCAAGAGGGUAUUCUGA